rnacentral:rRNA from 1 species
UAGGGAAUCUUGCGCAAUGGGCGAAAGCCUGACGCAGCGACGCCGCGUGCGGGAAGAAGGCCUUCGGGUUGUAAACCGCUUUCAGGAGGGACGAAGCCACUCGGGUUAAUAGCCCAGAGGGUGACGGUACCUCCAGAAGAAGCCCCGGCUAACUACGUGCCAGCAGCCGCGGUAAUACGUAGGGGGCAAGCGUUGUCCGGAUUUAUUGGGCGUAAAGAGCGUGUAGGCGGCCUGAUAGGUCAGCUGUGAAAACUCGAGGCUCAACCUCGAGAUGUCGGCUGAAAACCAUCUGGCUAGAGUCCGGAAGAGGAGAAUGGAAUUCCCGGUGUAGCGGUGAAAUGCGCAGAUAUCGGGAAGAACACCCGUGGCGAAGGCGGUUCUCUGGGACGGUACUGACGCUGAGACGCGAAAGCGUGGGGAGCGAACAGGAUUAGAUACC